CGGCAAUGAGCAUGUCACAGUCUGCCA
rnacentral:piRNA from 1 species